rnacentral:rRNA from 1 species
UACGAGUGCUCCAAGCGUUAUCCGGAAUCAUUGGGCGUAAAGGGUGUGUAGGUGGUUAUGUUAGUCCUGUGUCAAAUUCUUCGGCUUAACCGGGGGCUCGCGCGGGAUACGGCAUGACUAGAGGAUGGGAGAGGUGUGUGGAACUCAUAGUGUAGGGGUGAAAUCCGUUGAUAUUAUGGGGAACAUCGAAUGCGAAGGCAGCACACUGGCCCACUCCUGACACUGAAACACGAAAGCGUGGGUAGCGAAUGGG